CUACCCACUCCUACGGGAGGCAGCAGUGGGGAAUAUUGCACAAUGGGCGCAAGCCUGAUGCAGCCAUGCCGCGUGUAUGAAGAAGGCCUUCGGGUUGUAAAGUACUUUCAGCAGUGAGGAAGGUGGGUAUGUUAAUAGCAUAUUCAUUUGACGUUAGCUGCAGAAGAAGCACCGGCUAACUCCGUGCCAGCAGCCGCGGUAAUACGGAGGGUGCGAGCGUUAAUCGGAAUUACUGGGCGUAAAGCGCAUGCAGGUGGUUUGUUAAGUCAGAUGUGAAAGCCCGGGGCUCAACCUCGGAAUUGCAUUUGAAACUGGCAAACUAGAGUACUGUAGAGGGGGUAGAAUUUCAGGUGUAGCGGUGAAAAUGCGUAGAGAUCUGAAGGAAUACCGGUGGCGAAGGCGGCCCCCUGGACAGAUACUGACACUCAGAUGCGAAAGCGUGGGGAGCAAACAGGAUUAGAUACCCUGGUAG
rnacentral:rRNA from 1 species